rnacentral:tRNA from 1 species
GGCCCCAUCGUCUAGUGGCUAGGACAGCAGAUUCUCAUUCUGCUAACCAGGGUUCAAUUCCCUGUGGGGUCACAA